rnacentral:rRNA from 1 species
UACGUAGGGGGCUAGCGUUGUCCGGAAUCAUUGGGCGUAAAGCGCGUGUAGGCGGUCCGGUAAGUCCGCUGUGAAAGUCGGGGGCUCAACCCUCGGAUGCCGGUGGAUACUGUCGGGCUUGAGUACGGAAGAGGCGAGUGGAAUUCCUGGUGUAGCGGUGAAAUGCGUAGAUAUCAGGAGGAACACCGGUGGCGAAGGCGGCUACCUGGACAGAAACGUGACGCUGAGGCGCGAAAGCGUGGGAGCGAACAGG